GUUUUUCUGCAGAAUUAUUUACAAGCAAAAGUGUCUCAUUACCGAUUACUGGUGUGAUGAUUGAAGGGGCUCCAGGCAAACAUCCUCCUAGAGUGCAAGGAAUUCAUUUUCAUCCAACAGGAAUGUGAUCAUCUUAUCUGACAGCGCACUGAACCCGGGCGGCUUGACUCAUCACCGACUGCCUUACUUCAGACGUCUGCUGGCAGACGCUCGAUACUGCGCCGAGAGCUCCAACGGCAUAACUCGUUGCCUAGCGACCACACGACGCUUCGGGAAGAGAAAGCCUGGGUGCAUCGUGAGGACGUUUCCGGCCUUCCACUGGGUUCCAGCCGAACGGAGGCUCCAACCUGCACAGCCCUAUACAAACGUAGGAAAACGCUAACCUUUAUCUGUUCCUGAUUUGGGUUGAUGUCAUUAAUAGCUUGAUGAUUUUAAAUUAGUCACUCUUUAGCAUAUCGAUCGUAGUCCAAACUACCGAUUCAUUGUGUUAGAUCGUCCGCUAACUGUCCUCCUUCACCAUAUACCUCUUCC
ensembl:lncRNA